AUUGAACGCUGGCGGCAGGCCUAACGCAUGCAAGUCGAGCGGAUGAAGGGAGCUUGCUCCUGGAUUCAGCGGCGGACGGGUGAGUAAUGCCUAGGAAUCUGCCUGGUAGUGGGGGAUAACGUCCGGAAACGGGCGCUAAUACCGCAUACGUCCUGAGGGAGAAAGUGGGUGAUCUUCGGACCUCACGCUAUCAGAUGAGCCUAGGUCGGAUUAGCUAGUUGGUGGGGUAAAGGCCUACCAAGGCGACGAUCCGUAACUGGUCUGAGAGGAUGAUCAGUCACACUGGAACUGAGACACGGUCCAGACUCCUACGGGAGGCAGCAGUGGGGAAUAUUGGACAAUGGGCGAAAGCCUGAUCCAGCCAUGCCGCGUGUGUGAAGAAGGUCUUCGGAUUGUAAAGCACUUUAAGUUGGGAGGAAGGGCAGUAAGUUAAUACCUUGCUGUUUUGACGUUACCAACAGAAUAAGCACCGGCUAACUUCGUG
rnacentral:rRNA from 1 species